rnacentral:rRNA from 1 species
UUAAGUUAAUAAGGGCGCACGGUGGAUGCCUUGGCACUAGAAGCCGAAGAAGGACGUGACUAACGACGAAAUGCUUUGGGGAGCUGUAAGUAAGCGCUGAUCCAGAGAUGUCCGAAUGGGGGAACCCACUAGUUAAUGACUAGUAUCCAUAUCUGUUAAGGAUAUGAGAAGGAAGACGCAGUGAACUGAAACAUCUAAGUAGCUGCAGGAAGAGAAAGCAAAAGCGAUUGCCUUAGUAGCGGCGAGCGAAACGGCAGGAGGGCAAACCGAAGUGUUUACACUUCGGGGUUGUAGGACUGCGAUAUAGGAUUAAUCAUUAUAGAAGAAUUACCUGGGAAGGUAAGCCAAAGAGAGUAACAGCCUCGUAUUUAAAAUGAUAGAUUAACCUUAGCAGUAUCCUGAGUACGGCGAGACACGCGAAAUCUCGUCGGAAUCUGGGAGGACCAUCUCCCAACCCUAAAUACUCUCUAGUGACCGAUAGUGAACCAGUACCGUGAGGGAAAGGUGAAAAGCACCCCGGGAGGGGAGUGAAAUAGAACCUGAAACCGUGUGCCUACAACAAGUUCGAGCCCGUUAAUGGGUGAGAGCGUGCCUUUUGUAGAAUGAACCGGCGAGUUACGAUAUGAUGCGAGGUUAAGUUGAAGAGACGGAGCCGUAGGGAAACCGAGUCUUAAUAGGGCGCCAUAGUAUCAUGUUGUAGACCCGAAACCAUGUGACCUACCCAUGAGCAGGUUGAAGGUGAGGUAAAACUCACUGGAGGACCGAACCAGGGCACGUUGAAAAGUGCUUGGAUGACUUGUGGGUAGCGGAGAAAUUCCAAACGAACUUGGAGAUAGCUGGUUCUCUCCGAAAUAGCUUUAGGGCUAGCGUCGAUGUUAAGUCUCUUGGAGGUAGAGCACUGUUUGGGUGAGGGGUCCAUCCCGGAUUACCAAUCUCAGAUAAACUCCGAAUGCCAACGAGAUAUAAUCGGCAGUCAGACUGCGAGUGCUAAGAUCCGUAGUCGAAAGGGAAACAGCCCAGACCACCAGCUAAGGUCCCAAAAUAUAUGUUAAGUGGAAAAGGAUGUGGGGUUGCACAGACAACUAGGAUGUUAGCUUAGAAGCAGCUAUUCAUUCAAAGAGUGCGUAAUAGCUCACUAGUCGAGUGACCCUGCGCCGAAAAUGUACCGGGGCUAAAACAUAUUACCGAAGCUGUGGAUGACACAAAAGUGUCAUGGUAGGAGAGCGUUCUAUGUGUGAAGAAGGUGUACCGUGAGGAGCGCUGGAACGCAUAGAAGUGAGAAUGCCGGUAUGAGUAGCGCAAGACAGGUGAGAAUCCUGUCCACCGUAAGACUAAGGUUUCCAGGGGAAGGCUCGUCCGCCCUGGGUUAGUCGGGACCUAAGGAGAGACCGAAAGGUGUAUCCGAUGGACAACAGGUUGAUAUUCCUGUACUAGAGUAUAUAGUGAUGGAGGGACGCAGUAGGCUAACUAAACCAGACGAUUGGAAGUGUCUGGUCAAACAGUGAGGUGUGAUAUGAGUCAAAUGCUUAUAUCUUUAACAUUGAGCUGUGACGAGGAGCGAAGUUUAGUAGCGAAGUUAGUGAUGUCACACUGCCAAGAAAAGCUUCUAGCGAUACAUAUACUCUACCCGUACCGCAAACCGACACAGGUAGUCGAGGCGAGUAGCCUCAGGUGAGCGAGAGAACUCUCGUUAAGGAACUCGGCAAAAUGGCCCCGAAACCUUCGGGAGAAGGGGCGCUGAUUUUAGAUCAGCCGCAGUGAAUAGGCCCAAGCAACUGUUUAUCAAAAACACAGCUCUCUGCUAAAUCGUAAGAUGAUGUAUAGGGGGUGACGCCUGCCCGGUGCUGGAAGGUUAAGAGGAGUGCUUAGCGUAAGCGAAGGUAUGAAUUGAAGCCCCAGUAAACGGCGGCCGUAACUAUAACGGUCCUAAGGUAGCGAAAUUCCUUGUCGGGUAAGUUCCGACCCGCACGAAAGGCGUAAUGAUUUGGGCACUGUCUCAACGAGAGACUCGGUGAAAUUUUAGUACCUGUGAAGAUGCAGGUUACCCGCGACAGGACGGAAAGACCCCAUGGAGCUUUACUGCAGUUUGAUAUUGAGUAUCUGUACCACAUGUACAGGAUAGGUAGGAGCCUAUGAUAACGGGACGCCAGUUUCGUUUGAGGCGUUGUUGGGAUACUACCCUUGUGUUAUGGCUACUCUAACCCAGAUAGGCAAUCCCUAUCGGAGACAGUGUCUGACGGGCAGUUUGACUGGGGCGGUCGCCUCCUAAAAGGUAACGGAGGCGCCCAAAGGUUCCCUCAGACUGGUUGGAAAUCAGUCGUAGAGUGUAAAGGUAUAAGGGAGCUUGACUGCGAGAGCUACAACUCGAGCAGGGACGAAAGUCGGGCUUAGUGAUCCGGUGGUUCCGUAUGGAAGGGCCAUCGCUCAACGGAUAAAAGCUACCCUGGGGAUAACAGGCUUAUCUCCCCAAGAGUUCACAUCGACGGGGAGGUUUGGCACCUCGAUGUCGGCUCGU